UACGGGGGGAGCAAGCGUUGUUCGGAUUUACUGGGCGUAAAGGGCGCGUAGGCGGCCACUGCAAGUCAGUUGUGAAAUCUCCGGGCUUAACCCGGAAAGGUCAACUGAUACUGCAGGGCUAGAGUGCAGAAGGGGCAACUGGAAUUCUCGGUGUAGCGGUGAAAUGCGUAGAUAUCGAGAGGAACACCUGCGGCGAAGGCGGGUUGCUGGGCUGACACUGACGCUGAGGCGCGAAAGCCAGGGGAGUGAACGGG
rnacentral:rRNA from 1 species